GACGAACGCUGGCGGCGUGCCUAAUACAUGCAAGUCGAGCGGACUUUAAAAGCUUGCUUUUAAAGUUAGCGGCGGACGGGUGAGUAACACGUGGGCAACCUGCCUGUAAGACUGGGAUAACUUCGGGAAACCGGAGCUAAUACCGGAUAAUCCUUUUCUACACAUGUGGAAAAGCUGAAAGACGGUUUACGCUGUCACUUACAGAUGGGCCCGCGGCGCAUUAGCUAGUUGGUGAGGUAACGGCUCACCAAGGCAACGAUGCGUAGCCGACCUGAGAGGUGAUCGGCCACACUGGGACUGAGACACGGCCCAGACUCCUACGGGAGGCAGCAGUAGGGAAUCUUCCGCAAUGGACGAAAGUCUGACGGAGCAACGCCGCGUGAGUGAUGAAGGUUUUUCGGAUCGUAAAACUCUGUUGUUUAGGGAAGAACAAGUACAAGAGUAACUGCUUGUACCUUGACGGUACCUAACCAGAAAGCCACGGCUAACUACGUGCCAGCAGCCGCAGUAAC
rnacentral:rRNA from 1 species